rnacentral:rRNA from 1 species
AGUGAACGCUGGCGGUAGGCCUAACACAUGCAAGUCGAACGGCAGCACAGUAAGGGCUUGCUCUUACGGGUGGCGAGUGGCGGACGGGUGAGGAAUACAUCGGAAUCUACUUUUUCGUGGGGGAUAACGUAGGGAAACUUACGCUAAUACCGCAUACGACCUACGGGUGAAAGCAGGGGAUCUUCGGCCCUUGCGCGAUUGAAUGAGCCGAUGUCGGAUUAGCUAGUUGGCGGGGUAAAGGCCCACCAAGGCGACGAUCCGUAGCUGGUCUGAGAGGAUGAUCAGCCACACUGGAACUGAGAAACGGUCCAGACUCCUACGGGAGGCAGCAGUGGGGAAUAUUGGACAAUGGGCGCAAGCCUGAUCCAGCCGUACCGCGUGGGUGAAGAAGGCCUUCGGGUUGUAAAGCCCUUUUGUUGGGAAAGAAAAGCAGCAGGUUAAUACCCCGCUGUUCUGACGGUACCCAAAGAAUAAGCACCGGCUAACUUCGU